CAUUACUGAGUGAGGGCCCCUCGGGGUCCAACCUCCCACCCGUGUUUAACGUACCUUGUUGCUUCGGCGGGCCCGCCUCACGGCCGCCGGGGGGCAUCCGCCCCCGGGCCCGCGCCCGCCGAAGCCACCUGUGAACGCUGUCUGAAGUAUGCAGUCUGAGACAAUUAUUAAAUUAAUUAAAACUUUCAACAACGGAUCUCUUGGUUCCGGCAUCGAUGAAGAACGCAGCGAAAUGCGAUAACUAAUGUGAAUUGCAGAAUUCAGUGAAUCAUCGAGUCUUUGAACGCACAUUGCGCCCUCUGGUAUUCCGGAGGGCAUGCCUGUCCGAGCGUCAUUGCUGCCCUCCAGCCCGGCUGGUGUGUUGGGCCCCGCCCCCCUUCCCGGGGGGGCGGGCCCGAAAGGCAGCGGCGGCACCGCGUCCGGUCCUCGAGCGUAUGGGGCUUUGUCACCCGCUCUUGCAGGCCCGGCCGGCGCCAGCCGACCCCCUCAAUCUAUUUUUUCAGGUUGACCUCGGAUCAGGUAGGGAUACCCGCUGAACUUAAGCAUAUCAAUAAGCGGAGGAAAAGAAACCAACCGGGAUUGCCCUAGUAACGGCGAGUGAAGCGGCAAGAGCUCAAAUUUGAAAGCUGGCUCCUUCGGGGUCCGCAUUGUAAUUUGCAGAGGAUGCUUCGGGAGCGGUCCCCAUCUAAGUGCCCUGGAACGGGCCGUCAUAGAGGGUGAGAAUCCCGUAUGGGAUGGGGUGCCCGCGCCCGUGUGAAGCUCCUUCGACGA
rnacentral:rRNA from 1 species